rnacentral:lncRNA from 10 species
UUUCAAGGAACAACAGAGAGAUGGUAUUUCCAGACAAGGGAAUAAAUUCCCGGAAGCAACUGGCCAAGGAAUGAAAAUCCUGGAGAACAGAGUGGAAGAAACGCGUAUUCCACAUUUCCUGUUGAUUUUCUUUCCUCCCUAAACACUGACCUCCCGCAGUCUUCACUAGCAGGUGAGGUCACCUGUAGAGGUCAUGCUGCGGAGUCCCGAGUCCCUGAUUAUAUUCAAGACGUGGAGCUCUCUUUUUCCCGUCCUGCUUUCUUUCCAGAAGUGCCUCAGAUGCAUCCUCCCCUUCUCUUUUCUCCACAUGAAGACGUCACUGACCAUCUUCUCUGGUUUGCUUUCCAACACCGAGCACCAAGUGCUUCAAAGGUCAUGGUGCCCUGGGGCCGAGAGCUACUUAUGUGGGCAUUUAUAACCAAAUAAAUAUUGAAAUGGCCCACAAAGCAAAUGUUAGUGGUAACCAACAGCGGUAAAACUGGGUACAUGGGACCCUGAACCUUCUUGAAUAUUCCCCAUGAGACCCUGGGCCGACCUUCGGGCUUUCCAGUGUGCUCAGAAAAUCCUCCGUGGCUCCCAGCCCCAGCUUAGUCUUUCAACGGUCCUCGGACUGAAGCAAGAGACAGGGAAGGAAUUGUCCAAGGUUUUCCAGCAUGCUGAGAACACUUACCAUGGUGGAGCCUGGCACGUACUGGCUCUUUGAUGCAUGUGUAUUGGUCUCAAGUAGCCAGAAGCAUCUCCUCUGAGAGCCCUUGCCCUCCAGUUUAAAUGGCAAAUGGAAGGGAAUGGGUUCUGGAAGGCCCCAGGUGGGCUGGGGUGGGUUCUGGAGACCAUCUUCCAACUCCUGUUCAGGAGGAGGGUUGGUCAGAUCAGCUCUGUGGCCACCUGGGCUCUGGAGGGGCGAGAUACGGGCAGGUGCGGCCACAGGAGGGAGAGCACCAUGUGCGGGGGAAGCCCACAGCUGGAACCAAAAGGCCCCAGGAGGGAUCCUGGCUCUGACAUCUCCCAGCCGUGUGGCCUUGGGCAAGGUCCCUGACUUGGACCUCAGCCUCCUCAUCUGUAAAACAGGCAGAACAGUAAUACCGACCUUGUAGGUUGUAUAGAGUUCAUAUACAUCAAGCACUUACCACAGUGCCUGGCGGACCGCAUGCCCUAAACACACAAUCCGUGAAAUGAAUCCAUCAGCAAGCAGCUGCUAGGGGCAGUGUGGGGCAGAGAGGCAGCUGCCUGCUGGAACUGGCUGACAGGAGGAUGAGUGUGUGGCAGGAGGAACGCUCUGCACAGAGGACACUAGGUAGCGUCACCUGUCUCUUACCCUGUGUCUCCACUGGAAUGGAAUGUCAGACUCGCACCAUGCAUUCCUUUCCCUGCCAAAACGCCUCCUCUUAGCAGUGAGCAAGAAAGUUGUUCGAGUGGAUGAAGCCAAAAGCCCAUUUGGCAAGAGUGCUGUUUUGGAAAAUGCUUAGCGGUGUGGGUUGGGAUGAGGUUUUCUGUGCCUUUCCAUUAUUUCUUCAGCUUCAUGUAACCCUGACUGAGCAAUGCUCAGCAGAGUGAAGGCUGGGCAGCAGAUGGACAAGAUUUUCUCAAACUCCUUUUUAAGCCAAUUUCAAAAUAGAGAGAGGGAAAAAUCCUUGUUUUCUCUUUUCGGUUUUGAGAGGUUUCAUAUGCAGACACAAUUUUAAAUUUUAUUUUUUUUGCCCCCAAUGAGAUGUUUGGAGAUGGUGGUACUAGAACAGGAAGGAAUUUAUAAGUAUUGGGGAAUUUUUCAUCCCAAUUCCCAUAUCCUCCUAUAAUUCAAGGAGUGAAUGGGUAGUGUUUUUGUUUUUGUGAGAGGGGUGGCGGAGGGUAGAGAGAGAAAGAGAGAGAGACAGAGAGAGAUUACAUAGAGGUGUCCAAAAUGAACACAGUAAAAACCAGUUUUGAUUAAUUCUGCAAUAUUAAGUAGGCAGCCAAAAAUUUUGGUCUGCUUAAUUCUUAGCUCAUCUAAGUCUCCAGUUGACUGAUUGAUUGAUUGAAUGACUUAUUCAACAUGCGCUAGCCAGACACUGGUCUAGGGCCCAGGAAUUCAGCAAUAAAUGAAACAAGACCAAAAAAA